AUACUUACCUGGCGUAGAGGUUACCGUGAUCAAGAAGGCGGUUCCUCCAGGGUGAGGCUCUUCCAUUGCACCACGGUUGAGCUGACCUCUGCGAAUACCCCUAAUGUGGGUAUCUCGGACGUACAAUUUUUGGUAGUCGGGACUGCGUUCGCGCUAUCCCGG
rnacentral:snRNA from 1 species